AAAACCAAUCUCGUUAGAAAUGGCGGAAAACUUCACAUGAUUCAUGUAUUAGAGUACACACACACACACAUACCCCUUUCCGCAGGCAUAUUCUAAGGUACUCAUCAAGAAUCUUCUCUGUUUUGGCCUUUUGUUUUUCUCUGUAUGCUCUUACUAAUUCUUCAUCUACGGUUGCAGCAUCGAAUUUGGUACCCACUGUGGAAGUAAGAGAAAGAUCAUUGGAAACAAGUCAAAUAUAUUUAAGAGCUCUGUUUCGUGUAUAAAGCCAUCCGAAAGAUCUGGAUUCAGGAGUUGUUGGAGUGAGGAGUA
rnacentral:lncRNA from 1 species